rnacentral:rRNA from 1 species
CCUACGGGAGGCAGCAGUGGGGAGUAUUGCACAAUGGGCGCAAGCCUGAUGCAGCCAUGCCGCGUGUGUGAAGAAGGCCUUCGGGUUGUAAAGCACUUUCAGCGGGGAGGAAGGCGUUAAGGUUAAUAACCUUGUCGAUUGACGUUACCCGCAGAAGAAGCACCGGCUAACUCCGUGCCAGCAGCCGCGGUAAUACGGAGGGCGCAAGCGUUAAUCGGAAUUACUGGGCGUAAAGCGCACGCAGGCGGUCUGUCAAGUCGGAUGUGAAAUCCCCGGGCUCAACCUGGGAACUGCAUUCGAAACUGGCAGGCUAGAGUCUUGUAGAGGGGGGUAGAAUUCCAGGUGUAGCGGUGAAAUGCGUAGAGAUCUGGAGGAAUACCGGUGGCGAAGGCGGCCCCCUGGACAAAGACUGACGCUCAGGUGCGAAAGCGUGGGGAGCAAACAGGAUUAGAUACCCCAGUAGUC